UAAUGAGGUAGAGGUGCAAUGCGAAUGAUUACACUGUGGAGCUAGGGAAGCGUUGAAACAGCUGGAAAGGUCAAUUUGCCGAAGUGAAGAAGUGAAGGGGCCCACUUCAUCUUCGCUGGUUCGUUAUUGAAUAAAUAACGAACUGUCACUGCCAAAGCAGUGGAGGACUACUUAAACG
rnacentral:ncRNA from 2 species